rnacentral:rRNA from 1 species
UACGAAGGGGGCAAACGUUGCUCGGAAUUAUUGGGCGUAAAGCGCACGUAGGCGGCUUUGCAAGUCGGAUGUGAAAUCCCUCGGCUUAACCAAGGAAGUGCAUCCGAAACUGCAGAGCUUGAGUACUUAAGAGGAUCGCGGAAUUCCCGGUGUAGAGGUGAAAUUCGUAGAUAUCGGGAGGAACACCAGUGGCGGAGGCGGCGAUCUGGGAAGAUACUGACGCUGAGGUGCGAAAGCGUGGGGAGCAAACAGG